rnacentral:rRNA from 1 species
CAAGCCCUGGAAACGGGGUCUAAUACCGGAUAUGACGCAUGGCCGCAUGGUCUGUGCGUGGAAAGCUCCGGCGGUGCAGGAUGAGCCCGCGGCCUAUCAGCUAGUUGGUGGGGUGAAGGCCUACCAAGGCGACGACGGGUAGCCGGCCUGAGAGGGCGACCGGCCACACUGGGACUGAGACACGGCCCAGACUCCUACGGGAGGCAGCAGUGGGGAAUAUUGCACAAUGGGCGAAAGCCUGAUGCAGCGACGCCGCGUGAGGGAUGAAUGCCUUCGGGUUGUAAACCUCUUUCAGCAGGGAAGAAGCGCAAGUGACGUUACCUGCAGAAGAAGCACCGGCUAACUACGUGCCAGCAGCCGCGGUAAUACGUAGGGUGCAAGCGUUGUCCGGAAUUAUUGGGCGUAAAGAGCUCGUAGGCGGCGUGUCACGUCGGAUGUGAAAGCCCGGGGCUUAACCCCGGGUCUGCAUUCGAUACGGGCAGGCUAGAGUUCGGUAGGGGAGAUCGGAAUUCCUGGUG